GGAAAAACAGGCAGCCAAAAAAAAACAGCAACCAAGUAAUGGAUUUGUUUUUUUGGUUUACACCAACUGCAAUAUUACCAACCAGGUUAAUAUCAAGCAGUAAAAAAGCACCAUAUGGAGUAACACCCGUUAAGGAACCCCAAGUUAAUGUCUCAACGUAGUUUUCCCAGACACUCACUCUGUAGGGGGAAAGAAACAGCAACCUACAGCCGGGGAGCAGCAAUGUUAAGCAAUUCACAACAGACAUAGAACAAGCCAGUCGGCAAGUUGUGUAAGGUAAAUUAAGAGUUUGUUGGUCGGCAGGAGCCACCAAUAUAUUAAUGCACCGGAGUCGUAGUGUACACAAGCACGACAAUCCACUGGCAGAAGAUACAGAUCAACCGUGUACAGCAAUGGAGCAAUCAAGAGGGCUGGCCAUGUGGCCAGCUGUUUCAGGAUGCAAACAGCCAGAGAGUACACUUCCACGCAAGAUAUUCACUUAUCAAGCGAUCUUCAGAAAGCUUGUACCUCAAACCAUACGGACGUCUGCCGAGAAAUAUGAAAGAGAACGUUUGCGGCCAUGGGGUCUAUAUAUAGGAGCGGACCCCAGCCGUGACACAUGUGUACACGGAAGUAAACCUCAACUCGGAUGUAUCCUCCGCCGCGGGGUGAUACCAAUAUAGUGAAACAACCUCUUAUCUGGAUGCCUCACUUAGUUCCCGAGAGAGAGCAGCCAUACUGUGUUCAGUUUCAAUAAAAAGCAUGAACACUUACCACGCUGCGCUUUGGUCCACACCUUCAACAGACGACCGUUACAGGCCCUUCAUUCCCAAACCUGAAGCCCCCUGUCCCCAGCAGGAAAGACCAGGAGAAAGUGUUGGCUUAAGAUCUGCCACCCCCCCACCCCCUGUGGUAUUUAAUUUACCGGCUGCACCAGUUCCUACUACACUGGCCGUGGAUGGAGAAACUUGAGGAUUCGCAGAUGGAUACAGAUCUGCCAUGCACUCCACCACUGCCCGACAGGCCCAGUGUAUGCACUUCUGGGUGAGGCUAUCAAGACUGACAAAAGCAGAGAUGGGUGGUUGACAAGGAAAAAUUAAACACAACAUGCACACACACACACACUGUCACACACACAUUAUCCCCAAUGUAAAUAAAUUGUAAUUACUUGUUUAUUUUAUGUAUGCUCCAUUUUAUUUUAGGAUUGGAGAUAUCUACAUAUCCAUUAUCGAUAUCUACAUAAUUACUCUAAAUAUCUAUCCAAUAAAAGUGUGACUGUUAA